rnacentral:rRNA from 1 species
GGAAUCUUGCGCAAUGGGCGAAAGCCUGACGCAGCAACGCCGCGUGCGGGAAGAAGGCUUUCGGGCUGUAAACCGCUUUCAGUAGGAACGAAACUGACGGUACCUACAGAAGAAGGAGCGGCCAACUAUGUGCCAGCAGCCGCGGUGACACAUAGGCUCCAAGCGUUGUCCGGAUUUAUUGGGCGUAAAGAGCUCGUAGGCGGUUGAGUUAGUCGAGUGUGAAAACUUCGGGCUUAACCCGAAGACGCCACUCGAUACUGCUCUGACUUGAGUUCGGUAGGGGAGUGGGGAAUUCCUUGUGUAGCGGUGAAAUGCGCAGAUAUAAGGAGGAACACCGGUGGCGAAGGCGCCACUCUGGACCGAAACUGACGCUGAGGAGCGAAAGCGUGGGUAGCAAACAGGAUUAGAUACCCUGGUAGUCCACGCGGUAAACGGUGGGAACUAGGUGUGGGAUUCAACUAACGAAUUCCGCGCCGUCGCUAACGCAUUAAGUUCCCCGCCUGGGGAGUACGGUCGCAAGACUAAAACUCAAAGGAAUUGACGG